rnacentral:rRNA from 1 species
UACAGAGGUGGCAAGCGUUGCUCGGAAUUACUGGGCGUAAAGAGCGCGCAGGCGGUCGUUCAAGUCGCGUGUGAAAGCCCCCGGCUCAACUGGGGAGGGUCACGCGAUACUGAUCGACUCGAAGGCAGGAGAGGGAAGUGGAAUUCCCGGUGUAGUGGUGAAAUGCGUAGAUAUCGGGAGGAACACCAGUGGCGAAGGCGACUUCCUGGCCUGUUCUUGACGCUGAGGCGCGAAAGCUAGGGGAGCAAACGGG